rnacentral:rRNA from 1 species
UCCUACGGGACGCAGCAGUGGGGAAUAUUGCACAAUGGGGGAAACCCUGAUGCAGCGACGCCGCGUGAGUGAAGAAGUACUUCGGUAUGUAAAUCUCUAUCAGCAGGGAAGAAAAUGACGGUACCUGACUAAGAAGCCCCGGCUAACUACGUGCCAGCAGCCGCGGUAAUACGUAGGGGGCAAGCGUUAUCCGGAUUUACUGGGUGUAAAGGGAGCGUAGGCGGCAAGGUAAGCCAGAAGUGAAAGCCCGCGGCUCAACUGCAGGACUGCUUUUGGAACUAUCU